rnacentral:lncRNA from 1 species
UCUCUGUGUCUUUUAUAUUUGCACUUCCCUAGAAUACUGGAUUGAAUAGUGUCCCCCAAAAUUCGUGUCCACGUAGAACCCCAGAACGUGACCUUAUUUGGAAAUAGGGUCUUUGCAGAUGUAAUUAGUUAAGAUGAGAUCAUCCUGGAUUAGGGCGGGACUUAAACCCGAGGACUAGUGUCCUUAUCAGAGGAGAGACACAGAGACACAGGGAGAAGGCCAGGGGACUCGGAGACAGAGACCAGACGGAUGCAGAUGUCAGUCAAGGAGCACCAAGGAUUGCCGGCCACCACCAGGAGCCAGGCCAGAGGCGUGGAACAGACUCUCCCUCAAAGCCCUGGAGGCACUCCACCCUGCUGACACCUCGAUUUCAGACUUCUGACCUCCAGAACUUAUGUGGGCCGCCAGCACAGCAUGGCUGCUGACAGAGUGGUGUAGAUCUGCGCCUGGGAACUGAACCCCAGCCGCUGAAGCGGAGCUCACCAAACUUAACCACUAGGCCACUGGGGAUGGACCUAUAGGAUCCUUUUUUUUUUUUUUUUUUUUGAGGAAGAGUAGCCCUGAGCUAACAUCUGCUGCCAAGCCUCCUCUUUUUGCUGAGGAAUACUGGAACUGAGCUAACAUCCGUGCCCAUCUUCCUCUAUUUUAUGUGGGACGCCUACCACAGCAUGGCUUGCCAAGCAGUGUGUAUGUCUGCACCUGAAUCUGAACCAGUGAACCCCGGGCUGCCGAAGCUGAAUGUGCAAACUUAACUGCUGUGCCACCGGGCCAGCCCCUGAAAGGAUCCUUUUUGAAUGUGGGAACAUUUCUCCACUUCCCCAUAUGAUUGUUGUCCUUUUAGUAUGCACUGACUACAACAAUACAAAUGCAUUUAUGAAUUCCUAGACCCAUUGCACAAUUCUACAGCUUUCAGGCGAUCUGCUGCCCACUGGUUGGGAACCCUGGUCUGCAGGAUUAAAUUUCAACCCUUUGUCACGGACCUGAGGGUUCUUCAUGAUCUCCCAUGGCCAAUCUCC